AAGUAACUCCGAGUCUCGUCUGCGAUGGAGGAGAUAGGAGUACCGGCUGGUUGGCACAGCCAGCGGUUCACUUGUUCGACCGUAGUGAGGGCUGUUUCGCUCCACGAGAACAGGUUGGUAACCGCGAACCCUAAUAUCCCAACUCGGGGGAUUCCCGCGUCUUUAGGCGCGGGA
rnacentral:ncRNA from 1 species